rnacentral:rRNA from 1 species
UACGUAGGGUGCAAGCGUUGUCGGGAAUUAUUGGGCGUAAAGGGCUCGUAGGCGGUCUGUUGCGUCGGGAGUGAAAACUCAGGGCUUAACCCUGAGCCUGCUUCCGAUACGGGCAGACUAGAGGUAUGCAGGGGAGAACGGAAUUCCUGGUGUAGCGGUGAAAUGCGCAGAUAUCAGGAGGAACACCGGUGGCGAAGGCGGUUCUCUGGGCAUUACCUGACGCUGAGGAGCGAAAGUGUGGGGAGCGAACAGG